UAUAGGCGUUAUACUUUACAGCAACAGUACGCCGCUAACGCAAUUGCUACCUCUGGCAUAACAAGUAUAUCGGGUAAGGGUUUCUGUUCCGCACACGCAGACGCAGAGUAUCGUUAAGAUGUCCAUAUUGUUGUUUUAGGCCCGCUAGUAAUGCGCUACGGGUAUUUAAUAUUGUUAAACCCUGAUAAUCGCUCCGGUUAUUUCCGGGAUAAAUGUACUACC
rfam:Escherichia coli str. K-12 substr. MG1655, complete genome.